UUAAUCAUCUGUACACCUAGAGAUUCUGUUCUUUUCUAAAACUCACACCAGGAUAAUGCUUUAGAGAUCUGACAGGCGUUAAAUGCUUUUCUACUUUGAAAAGAAGAAUAAAAUGUCUCAUAACUAACAAAAUUAAGCUUAGAGAGAAUAUGUUUUAGACAGACUUUGGCUGAGAGACAAAAAUCAUCGGGUCCAAGUACUCCAGGGACAGACUUCAAGUAAAACAGGAAUGAAGUAUUCUGCAAAAUUGCCAUAUGACACAGGCCUAGUCAAAGUGUAAGUCUUUUAUUAUAAUGCUAAUAACCACUAGUCUUCUACUUUAAACCAGUGAAAAUGUUAGAAAAAAUUCAAUAGUUCAAGUACACUUAGGCAUUUUGUCA
rnacentral:lncRNA from 1 species